GUGGGGAAUCUUAGACAAUGGGCGCAAGCCUGAUCUAGCCAUGCCGCGUGAGCGAUGAAGGCCUUAGGGUUGUAAAGCUCUUUCAGGGGGGAAGAUAAUGACGGUACCCCCAGAAGAAGCCCCGGCUAACUCCGUGCCAGCAGCCGCGGUAAUACGGAGGGGGCUAGCGUUGUUCGGAAUUACUGGGCGUAAAGCGCACGUAGGCGGACCAGAAAGUCAGGGGUGAAAUCCCGGGGCUCAACCCCGGAACUGCCUUUGAAACUCCUGGUCUUGAGGUCGAGAGAGGUGAGUGGAAUUCCGAGUGUAGAGGUGAAAUUCGUAGAUAUUCGGAGGAACACCAGUGGCGAAGGCGGCUCACUGGCUCGAUACUGACGCUGAGGUGCGAAAGCGUGGGGAGCAAACAGGAUUAGAUACCCCGGUAGUCC
rnacentral:rRNA from 1 species